rnacentral:rRNA from 1 species
GAUGAACGCUGGCGGCGUGCUUAACACAUGCAAGUCGAACGAAGCACUCUAUUUGAUUUUCUUCGGAAAUGAAGAUUUUGUGACUGAGUGGCGGACGGGUGAGUAACGCGUGGGUAACCUGCCUCAUACAGGGGGAUAACAGUUGGAAACGACUGCUAAUACCGCAUAAGCGCACAGGAUCGCAUGGUCCGGUGUGAAAAACUCCGGUGGUAUGGGAUGGACCCGCGUCUGAUUAGCCAGUUGGCAGGGUAACGGCCUACCAAAGCGACGAUCAGUAGCCGACCUGAGAGGGUGACCGGCCACAUUGGGACUGAGACACAGCCCAAACUCCUACGGGAGGCAGCAGUGGGGAAUAUUGCACAAUGGGGGAAACCCUGAUGCAGCGACGCCGCGUGAGCGAAGAAGUAUUUCGGUAUGUAAAGCUCUAUCAGCAGGGAAGAAGAAUGACGGUACCUGACUAAGAAGCACCGGCUAAAUACGUGCCAGCAGCCGCGGUAAUACGUAUGGUGCAAGCGUUAUCCGGAUUUACUGGGUGUAAAGGGAGCGCAGGCGGUGCGGCAAGUCUGAUGUGAAAGCCCGGGGCUCAACCCCGGUACUGCAUUGGAAACUGUCGUACUAGAGUGUCGGAGGGGUAAGUGGAAUUCCUAGUGUAGCGGUGAAAUGCGUAGAUAUUAGGAGGAACACCAGUGGCGAAGGCGGCUU